rnacentral:rRNA from 1 species
UACGUAGGGGGCUAGCGUUGUCCGGAAUCAUUGGGCGUAAAGAGCGUGUAGGCGGCCUGGUAAGUCCGCUGUAAAAGUCAAAGGCUCAACCUUUGAAUGUCAGUGGAUACUGCCGGGCUAGAGUCCGGAAGAGGCGAGUGGAACUCCUGGUGUAGCGGUGGAAUGCGCAGAUAUCAGGAGGAACACCAAUUGCGAAGGCAGCUCGCUGGGACGUGACUGACGCUGAGACGCGAAAGCGUGGGGAGCAAACAGG